UUAAAAACGUAAUAAUAGGUCGUAAUACGCUGCUUGCACAAACGACCUAUGGGGUCGUUUUUCGGAGGAGGACAGUCUCGUUCAGUGACUAAUACAGCUGCAGUGUACUCUACCACUGUUUUAUUGAGGUGAUGGAGAUCUGUAUGGACUCCUACUGAUGAUUAUUUCAUCUGUUAGUGGUCAGUCUUUGACCUCCUCAGAUUCUGUGGUGAAAAAGCCUGGAGACUCAGUGACUCUGUCCUGCACUGUGUCUGGAUUCUCAAUGAGCAGCUACUGGAUGCACUGGAUCCGUCAGAAACCAGGGAAAGCACUGGAGUGGAUUGGAUUUAUAAACACUGGUUCAAGUGCAUAUUUUGCUCAGUCUCUACAGGGCCAGUUCUCCAUCACCAAAGACACCAGCAAAAACAUGCUGUAUUUAGAGGUGAAAAGCCUGAAGACUGAAGACACAGCUGUUUAUUACUGUGCUAGAGACUCACAGUUACACAAAAGACUGCAGGACUGAACAAAAACUAGUUAUACGAUCUGAGGGUCCAAGAACAUGUUUCAGUACACUUCACUUUUUGUUAAUUCUUGUUAAUUCUCUGAGUGUUUUAGAAAUUGAUGUAAAUAUUUAUAUAGUCACAGAAACAGAUGGGAUCUCAGAGCAUGUUGUUCACUUUGACAGAUGCUAAUGACAUCUCACGGAUUGAAAACACACAACACCUGGUUUUUAAACAGUCUGUAUGCAGAAUUAAAAUAAAUGAAUAAAUAAAUCAGACAUUGUU